ACUUUCAGCGGUAUUCCCUCAAGCAACUUUUUUUUUUUUUGAAUUUAUCAAUACACCCUCAUCUGACCGUUUCAUAUCUCCGUAAAACUCUUACCGUGACCAAAACACUUAAAAUUUUAUAAAUAUUUUAUGCGCAUUUUGACUGACGACGAAAGAACAGAUGGAAAUUGAAAACGUUCGACUACUAUUCCCAAGAAAAUUAUGUACACUUCAGGUAAAGCCUCAGAAAUUGUCAUCAAAGUAAAAGUAUUUGUUUCCAUUCCAUACUAAGCUACAAGAUAGUGUUCAGUAGACUAUUGUGAGUUGGUGCAUUUAUUUAUUGUCAUGGAAAAAGUCCAAUAAAGCACCUCAACUCCUUA